rnacentral:pre_miRNA from 1 species
CCAGCCCAGCGCUCGCACCGCUCGCAGAAGACAUCGCUGGCACCGUGUUGGCCGCCAUUUGAGCGCUUGGUCACAUCGCUGGCACCCACGGCUGGCACCGUGGCCGCCACUUGACCAAGCGCUAAAUAUCGGCCAACNCGGUGCCAGCGAUGUCUUCUGCGAGCGGUGCGAGCGCUGGGCUGG